CGGGUCGUAAAACUCUGUUGUUAGGGAAGAACAAGUACAAGAGUAACUGCUUGUACCUUGACGGUACCUAACCAGAAAGCCACGGCUAACUACGUGCCAGCAGCCGCGGUAAUACGUAGGUGGCAAGCGUUGUCCGGAAUUAUUGGGCGUAAAGCGCGCGCAGGCGGUCCUUUAAGUCUGAUGUGAAAGCCCACGGCUCAACCGUGGAGGGUCAUUGGAAACUGGGGGACUUGAGUGCAGAAGAGAAGAGUGGAAUUCCACGUGUAGC
rnacentral:rRNA from 1 species